rnacentral:rRNA from 1 species
CUUGGAGGUUGUGCCCUUGAGGCGUGGCUUCCGGAGCUAACGCGUUAAGUAGACCGCCUGGGGAGUACGGCCGCAAGGUUAAAACUCAAAUGAAUUGACGGGGGCCCGCACAAGCGGUGGAGCAUGUGGUUUAAUUCGAUGCAACGCGAAGAACCUUACCUGGUCUUGACAUCCACGGAAGUUUUCAGAGAUGAGAAUGUGCCUUCGGGAACCGUGAGACAGGUGCUGCAUGGCUGUCGUCAGCUCGUGUUGUGAAAUGUUGGGUUAAGUCCCGCAACGAGCGCAACCCUUAUCCUUUGUUGCCAGCGAUUAGGUCGGGAACUCAAAGGAGACUGCCAGUGAUAAACUGGAGGAAGGUGGGGAUGACGUCAAGUCAUCAUGGCCCUUAC